UUUCAAACGAUGUGGUCGAGGAUACGUGAUUUGCGCAUCAAUAUAUUCCCACCUUAGACAUGAGGAUUGGGUGAGGAUGGUGAAUUGCAUAGAUGUACAGGUAAGGAAUGCACCAUUGUGAAAAGAUUACAUAAAAAUAUUUAAUAAUGAUUUUUUAAUUAGAAUUCAUAUU